GCCACACUUCUGCUUUCUGCUAAAAGAGAGAAUGGAUUUGAAUUAAUCAUUUAUCCAGAGAUUCUGCAGAGUUGAUGUCAUUUUCAUGAAGACACUAUGUUCUGAUUAAAAAGAGUGGCCUUCAGCCGCCAUUAACUGCAAAGUGAUUUGGCAAGUCCUGCUGUCACCUGCAUUCCCCUGGCAUUCCAUCUGGUGAAGAACUUGAUGUGGCAGCAGCCCCUGCACAGCAAGAGGAAAACACAGGUUAUCAGGAUUUAUAAAUAAGCAGUUAAAAUGUUUUUCCAUUCAGUAAGCACUGGUAUAUUGUCAUGAUUUAGGAAUGUUAGUCAGUUCAGUGCCCCACUGAGGCUCUCCCAAACUGUGCACAGUUUUUGAUCAUGCCAGAGGCUGAUGCACCGUAAGGAAUAUGAUACCUACUCAAUACUAUGCUUUGGCCCAGAGGUCUAUGAGACUACUUUUGAAAUUAAUCCCAUUGUCUGACUCAGCUCUUUCUGGGGUUCCAUGUCACCACAGGCCUUGCUUUUCAAGACCCAAGAUGGUGUUUGGGCAUAGAGUACAUCUGCAGCCAUCCUGUAGUGGAUUCCACCCUUGUCUGCACAUAGCGCUUGCUUUCACAGUUUUGUGGGAGUGCAGUCUGACUAGCCAGGCCUCCCCAUAUUUGUACUUUGGGCAUUGUACCCCAUACCACAGAGGCUUUACUCAGCCUGCUUGAUUGCAGUGCAUGUUUCACAGCUAAUAAUAAGGAUAAUCUGGGAAAUAUUGUCCUUGGUUAAGUCCACCCCUCAGUCCCGAGCCCAUCUGUAUUGUUGCAUCUCUUCUCUGAUGACCUGAAGUAUCGUGGGCCCAAUGAGCCACAAGAAAUUCACCCUUAUGUUGCUAGUCCACAUAUACCUGAGACACUGUAAUCUUGGCAACGCAAUCCACCUGUCCAUUGUUGUGAUGUUCUUCAGUAGCCCAGCUCACAAGUGCGUGUGCAUCUACGUGAUGUGCUUUUACAGCCAACUUUUCUCUCCAAGCAGUGAUGUCUUGUCAAUCUUCAGCAGCCCAGACGGGUUAACCUCUUUUCUACUAAUUUAUGUUUUUCUAUUGAUCCAGCCACCCCUACAGAGCAUUUGCUUCUGUUCAUUGGUCAGUGUAGAGGUAGGGCUCUGGCCAUUUCUUUUGUUGAGUGAUAUCUAAAGCCAUCUGGAUGGCUUUCCGGCGUGCAAAUUGACUUGAUCCACCUUGUCCUGUCAUGCAGUACUCCAUGUAGCAGUUAACUAUUUUUUAUUUAUCCCCAAGGUACAGCAGGAACUGUCAGUGAUGAAGCCAUUUUCCUUUUUCUGGUAGCUGACUAUAUGGUGGGGCCUCCUCAAUACGUCACCCUUUCGUCCUCCUCUGUUGAUGAUAGUCCAAAAUGUUUGGCUUCCUUGAUUUCCAAGAUCCCUGGGUGAUUGGUAUUUCCUACUGAGCUUGCUGGGUGGUCAUCACAACUCACUUAAUCCUUGUAGCAUCAGUGCCAUGAUGUGUGUCAGGGACAUUCUCUUUGAACAUCCAGCCUAGCACUGGCAUUCAGGGUGCCAGAAGGAGCUGUGCUUUGGUGCCAGUUACUUCCAAAGCACCUUAAAACCCUUCAUAAGCUGCCAGGAUCUCUUUUUCAGGUGGGGUAUAACAGGCCUUAGCUCUCUUAUAUCUCUGUGUCUGGAACCUCACUGGUCGUCCUGAAGUCUCCCUAGGGAAUUUUUGCCAGAGACUCCAGGAAAGACCAUUCUCCCUAUCUGCAGUGUACAGCAAUUUUUUCACAUGUGCUCCUAUCCAGACUGGCCCAAAUGUUACUGCAUGAAGAAUCUCCUGUUUAGAUAAUUCAAAAGCCUGUUAUUGUUUAGGACCCCUCUUUAAAUUAUUCUUCUUCCAUGUCACAUAAUAUUGAGAGGGCUUACAAUCUGACUGUAAUCUGUAAUAUGCAUCCUCCAGAAACCUGCUAGGAAAACCUGUGCUUGCUUUCUGCUGGUUGGUGGGUACAUAGCUGCUUGUUUGUUUACCACAUCCAUUGGAAUCUGAUGACAUCCUUCUUUCCAUUUUACUUCUAAAAGCUGGAUUUCCUGGUCAGAUUCCUUGAGUUUGCUUUGCUUUAUGGCAAAACUGGCCUUCAGGAGGAUCUGGAUUUGCUUCUCCCCUUUCUCAAACACUUCCUUUGCUGUGUUGCCCCAUACGAUAUCACUGAUGUACUACAAGAGUUCUGGAGCCUCCCCCUUUUUUAGUGCAGCCUGGAUCAGCCUAUGGCAAAUAGUCGGGCUGUGUUUCCACCCAGGGAGCAACAGUCCGUUGUCACUUUUCACUCUCCACUGGGCUUACACAUUGGCCACAUAGGACUAGUAAAGGGUCAGUGAAUUUUGCUGACCACUCCCUGGUGUUGUAUUGCACUAAAUAGUUUAUUUAGUUGUUGCACUGGUGGCGGGUUCCCCCUCCCUCAUCAGAUGGUUUCCCCCUCACACAUCCCCCCUGCACACCUGGUCUGUCUCACAGGUGCUUCGCCCCUCCCCAGUGGUAUCCCAUUGGCUCCGGUUCUCUCUCCCCCGCCCCUCACCCCCUAGGGUAUAAAACCUCCUGUGUGAAAGCUCCAAGCCCUCUUUUUUACCUGGGUGACCCAUCACCUGUGUCCUGCCCCAAGCCAAUAAACAGGAUACUUGCACCCACGUGGAGAAGAGCGCCUCUCUUCUUUUACCUUUGUCUAUGUGGAUCCGUGUGGGCUAGAGUCUUAUGCUAGCCGGAUUUGGACUCAUAUAAGGCCCAGGAAAAACACGGAUUGCCGCACCCUGGCUCUCCAGCUCUCAGAUCAUCUCCUGGAAAGGGGCCACGGAGUCCUGGUUGGUGUGAUAUUGCCAACACUGCACUGUUGUAGUAGCCAUCAGUUCCUGUUGUUCUUCAACCCUCAGCAGUCCCACAGCAAAAGGUCGUCUGAGAGACCAGGCAAGAUCAUCCUUGAGAGAAUACCUUUCCCUGACACUUGACACAAACUGUCUCCAGUGGCUUAAGAGUUUCUGUGCUCUUCUCAAUCCUCUUGUCAAUGACCAUAUUUCAGGACAGAGAUCCCAGCUGCUUCGCUUCACUGCCAUGCAAUUUCAUAUCACAGGCAAUUACAUUCUAGAAUUAAAGCAGCCAGGUCACCAGGGGCUCUCCUGACUAGUGGUUGAAAUCUAUUUGUAUAUCUCACAGCUCACCUGAGGACUGGGAUCAGGUGAUUAUCUCUGGCCCUGCCUCUUUCUCCUGUUCUGAGGGCUUUGCUUCCUCUUCAUCCCUCAUGCAGUGAAUUGAUUACAUGUUGGAUUUCUUUUUCUGUAUGGGGUUGACUGCUAUGGGUUGCUCCUCUGGUUCAGCAGCAGUUUGGGUGGCCAUGGUGCCUGUUGGUCUGCUUUCUUUCUCCACCUCUAGGAAUGAUGAUGUCUACUGUUGAGCAGUGUCCGGUAAACAGUAGCCAGGACAGAACACUGUAACUUACACAGCUGUGUAAGUUUGUCCCUCUCUGGAGCUACUACAGCAUUUUUCUAUGACAUAUGUCAUCACUUUAUCAGAUUGUUAAAGUGAUGUAGUUUUUCACAGGUGAACUGCUAAACCCUUGCAGAAGUCCUCCCAACACUGGCUCGUGUCCUCCUACGUUCCAUGCCACUCAUUACUAUCCCACUUCAGGGCAGAUCUCUUAAUAAACUCUCUAGAAAUCUU